UAACUUCCUGCUUCCUGACAGCUGCACAACAACAACAGCAGACUCUUCUCUCUGUGCUCCGUGCGCGUUUCCCCGAUCUUUAAUUUCAGGUCAUAUCUGUGUCCGAGUCCACCUGUCUCACCUGUCCGUCUGUCUGUCUACAUGCGCGCUCCCGUGUGCGCGGCGCUGCUGGUGUGGGUGCUGAGCGAUGCGGCGGCUCGUCAGUUCUCGGAGGAGGAGAUGGCUGCUGUCAGACAGCGCAUCAAAUCCAUGUUCUACCACGCCUACAACAGUUACCUUGACAACGCCUUCCCCUACGAUGAGCUCCGCCCUCUCACCUGCGAUGGACAGGACACCUGGGGCAGUUUCUCGCUCACUCUGAUUGACGCCCUCGACACUCUGCUGGUUUUGGGAAACCGUACAGAGUUCCAGCGAGUGGCGUCGCUCCUCCAAGACACCGUCGACUUCGACAUCGACGUCAACGCGUCCGUGUUUGAAACCAACAUCAGAGUUGUGGGUGGUCUGCUGUCAGCCCAUCUCUUGGCGAAGAGGGCGGGAAUGGAGCUGGAGCCCGGGUGGCCCUGCUCAGGACCGCUGCUGAGGAUGGCCGAGGACGCCGCCAGGAAACUGCUGCCUGCGUUUGAGACUCCCACCGGCAUGCCGUACGGUACGGUGAACCUUCUGCGUGGCGUCAGUCCCACUGAGACACCGGUCACCUGUACCGCUGGCGUGGGAACCUUCAUCCUGGAGUUCGCCACACUGAGUCGACUAACGGGAGACCCGACAUUUGAGAACGUCGCCCGCCGAGCCCUGAGAGCCCUGUGGAAGACCAGAUCUGACAUCGGACUGGUGGGGAACCACAUUGACAUCGUGUCCACGAAGUGGGUCGCUCAGGAUGCCGGUAUUGGCGCGGGAGUCGACUCGUACUUCGAGUAUCUGGUCAAAGGAGCCGUUAUGCUGCAGGAUGAAGAGCUGCUCAGCAUGUUCCAGGCGUAUGAUCGAGCCAUCCAGAACUACACCCGCUUUGACGACUGGUACCUGUGGGUCCAGAUGCACAAAGGAACUGUGUCCAUGCCCAUUUUCCAGAGUCUGGAGGCCUUCUGGCCCGGCCUGCAGUCUCUGCUGGGAGACCUGGACAGUGCUGUGAGAACUUUCCAGAAUUAUUAUUCUGUGUGGAGACAGUUUGGAGGACUGCCUGAGUUUUACAGCAUCCCUCAGGGUUACACUGUGGAUAAGAGAGAGGGCUACCCACUGAGACCAGAGUUAAUCGAGAGUGCGAUGUACCUGUUCAGGGCAACAGCUGAUCACACCUAUCUCCAGCUGGGCGUCGACGCUCUGGAGUCCAUCGAGAAGAUCGCCAAGACGCCGUGUGGAUAUGCCAGCGUUAAAGACCUGCGAGAUCACCAGCUGGACAACAGGAUGGAGUCCUUCUUUCUAGCUGAAACCAUCAAGUACCUCUACCUGCUCUUUGACCCCACCCACUUUCUGCACGGCGGAGGGAUGGAGGGGGACGGGUCGUGGGAGGAGGGUGGGGAGUCGGGGGAGUGUGUGUUAGGGGCAGGGGGGUUCAUCUUUAACACGGAGGCUCACCCUCUGGACCCAGCGGCGCUGUACUGCUGCGGCCGGCACGACCAGGACCACCAGGAGCUCCAAGACAUCCUGCUCACCCUGUCGCAGCCCGGCAGCCAAUCAAAACCACCUCCCAAACAAACAGAGGGGGGCAGCCAAUCGGAGAGCAUCGCUCUGAAACCCGGAGAGAAGAAGACGCCCCCUCUGCUGUCCUGCCCCGUUCAGCCGUUCAGCGCUCGGCUCUCCAUCCUGGGACAGGUUUUUACCGACAACACGUGAGACUGUUCGACUUCCUCCGAGCGUCUCGCCGUGAGCGACUGAGUGAGACCCCGAAUCUCGGCAGCUCGGUGAUUGAAAGCAGAGUUUUGAGGUUUCCGUUUCCUAAACUGACGUUCCUACACAGAUCUACUGUGGUUCGCUUUUUGUUGCUAUGAAGGAGCUCAGGACCAGAACUUUGCUGUGCUUUGUCGACUCAAAUGCUUUUACUUUGGAGGUCUCUCUGAAUGCCUAACAGUGUGUCGGUCACCACUGUGCUGCUAGAACACUCUCCCAUUAGGGCGUGGAUGCACCACCUUGGGGUGUUGGUGGGGGGCUGGGUGUCCUGCAGUGUCUGGAACUGGGAUUCUUGCAGCGGAUUGGCUGGUUCCUUUGAGGAUGUCGGGUGGUGCGUCCGUGGAUGGCGAUGGCUCUGUUUCGUCCAUCUGACGGUUUGUAUGUGUCAGAGCCACAUUUCAUAUGUUAGUGGUUCUGUCGUUGUGGCUGAUCGCUGUAGUUUACAGUUGUUAAUUGUUUGUUACAGUAGGUGGCACGCCUUCUUCAGCUUCUGUGAACCUGCCUCCAUUAUUCUGUGAAGCCUCUUUGUUUAUCCUCUGUGCGUUUACUGUUGUUGAUAUAGUUACAGCAGACUUGAGUUACAUCCCAGAAUGAUCCUCUACACCAAAGAAAUAGAGAAAUGUCUAAAGGUCAUCACGAGAUAAGGUUUUAAUGACUUUGAUGUGGGAUGCUUUACAACCAGGCAGCUCCUCUGUAGAGGUAAAUGUGUCUAAUCACUUAGAGGUCACAACUACGGAAACGACAUAGUCAGGUCACCAAGCUCGAGCAGUCUGCAUUAACUUCCCUUUGCACCAUUUAAGGUUUCGUCUUCACUCUGAGAGUUUCUGUGACCAGCCAACGGUUUCUGAAAUGUGGGGACAGAUUUAUAACUUUCCAAAACAGACGGGAAGUGUUUUCCCCUCUAAAUCCAGGAUCCAGACCUCUGAGUACAAAAGACAGGACUCAAACUGAUUAAACUUUAAGUGUUUCUAUGAGAUAGUUAAACAAAAUUCUGACUGUUGAUUGGGUUUACAUCCCCUGCCAGCAGGAAUCAGGAGUAACAAUGGGCUCAUGUUCAGGAGCCUUUGUCACUGUGGUUGCAAUAAAACCAGCAGACAGAACAAUACUCCAACGAGAGCGUGCUGGCGGUGUUAUGUCUGUGCCGUGUGGGUGUCUGUGCUCGCAGCAGCCAGAGGGAGGCAGUGUUUCGCCUCCAUGGUGCCAAAGUAUGUCCGGCAUCUGGGAGUCAGGAUCCUACAGAGACCAACACGUGUCACAUACAGAAAUCAUGAACCUUUUAUAGUUUUCUUAAUGUCUUCUUCUUGGGCUGAUUUCAUGUAAAUCAUUCGUUUUAUGUAACAUUUGCCCCGAGAAGCACAGCUGCAAGUGACUGAAUAUUUAUUACUGAUUAAAAUUUACAUGACUAACAAACACAUUGGCUUGUUUGUGAUCCAGUAUAGAUUACAGUUUAUUAGUAAUGAGUCCCAGCAUAAACUUUUCCCGACGUACAAACAAAGAUGGUCUGUUGAAUCUCGGUAUAAUCAUAAAUUAAGUUUUGUGUGAUGAGAAACGGUGCAGAGCCUCGUGACAGCAGACUGCAGGUCUUUACAGAAACACGAAUGAAUGAAAAGCAGUGAGAUCCAAGUCACAUGAUACUUUUUUUACAUUUAAAAGAGGACAUGUCCAGACGAUUCAAAAUCUGAGGGAGCCGGGCAGCAGAUCCCCGCUCAUCACUAAUGACGAGCAAGCAGCAAAAGGCUCAAGUGCCAAAACCGCAGCGCUGCUAACAGGCUGACUGCAAAGUGAAUCAGCGCCCACAGACUCCCAGGUUAAAGUGUCAGACUUUGAAGUGCUAAAAACUGAAUUCACCGUGGAUCGUUUCCCCCUUGCUUAAUAGUUUUGGUUGUUUUCAUUUUGGACUGACACAGAGACGGGUAGCUGAUCAGUGGCUGCCAGGCAUCAUUUAUACUAACUGGAUCUGUGCUGUAGAUCUCAAACCCCGGCUGGGCUCACAAAGAGUUUGAAAAUAUUGCCAGGAACCAAACCAAGGGAGGCUUUUAAAAAGGAGCAGUAAUAUUUUCUAAUUAAUUUAAAGACUCACAGGUAAAAAUCAGCAAGUAUUGGUUUGAAACCUAACCAGGAACCUGCUGGAUCAUGAGCAGUCCAAACUAUUUGGACUAAAUGAAAAUACUGUAAAGCUGCACAGGGAGGAACAUUUUGUGCGUAUGUGCGGUGACAUGAAGGACUUGCAACACUUGACAAAGGGGCUGUAUUUGUAUUUUGCACCUGAAUAUGCAGUGACAGAGUAACAAAUGUUCUACAUGAAAAGUGAAGACGUCAUCUUCAGGAAGCAGAAUGUUGCCAUUAAAUUUAAGGCUAUGAUUGAUUUUGUCCUGUCGUCUGUCUGUUUGACGCUCAGGAGGAGAUCUGUAUGAGGGAGACACGAACAAACAAACAAACCUAAUGAUGAUUAAAAACUUUGUAUCCUCAGAGAUUUGUAGCAGCUAAAAUGGU